rnacentral:rRNA from 1 species
GAUGAACGCUGGCGGCGUGCCUAAUACAUGCAAGUCGAGCGAACAGACGAGGAGCUUGCUCCUCUGACGUUAGCGGCGGACGGGUGAGUAACACGUGGAUAACCUACCUAUAAGACUGGGAUAAUUUCGGGAAACCGGAGCUAAUACCGGAUAAUAUAUUUAACCGCAUGGUUCAAUAGUGAAAGACGGUUUUGCUGUCACUUAUAGAUGGAUCCGCGCCGCAUUAGCUAGUUGGUAAGGUAACGGCUUACCAAGGCAACGAUGCGUAGCCGACCUGAGAGGGUGAUCGGCCACACUGGAACUGAGACACGGUCCAGACUCCUACGGGAGGCAGCAGUAGGGAAUCUUCCGCAAUGGGCGAAAGCCUGACGGAGCAACGCCGCGUGAGUGAUGAAGGUCUUCGGAUCGUAAAACUCUGUUAUUAGGGAAGAACAAAUGUGUAAGUAACUAUGCACGUCUUGACGGUACCUAAUCAGAAAGCCACGGCUAACUACGUG